GUUACACGUGAGGAUUCCGUAUGCAAUAAAAGCCGCCCCUGCAUAUAAACAUCACUUACUUCGUUCUUGCGUCCAAGGAAGGAACUUCUACAGACUUUACACCAACAUGAAUAUUCUUACAGUGUGCAUCCUUGUGUGUGUUGCUGGUGCAGCAUAUUCACUUCCAGUCUAUGAGGAUCCUCCGCUACCACCUUUCUGUAAUAAACUAGAAUGUCCUCGGUUCACGGUUAAGAGAAAAACAGCAGA